rnacentral:precursor_RNA from 11 species
UCGUGCAUUCUCCGAGUACUUGGUAUUUAUCGGUGAAUUCGACCGUGGUUUUGUUUCUUUUUCUAACAUCACCGGGUAGAAUUCAUCCAGAAUUAUCAAGUUUCAUACAUCUACUGUAAG